GCUUACGGCCACACCGGCCUGAGUACACCUGAUCUCGUCCGAUCUCGGAAGCUAAGCAGGGUCGGGCCUGGUUCAGUACUUGGAUGGGAGACCGCCUGGGAAUACCAGGUGCUGUAAGCU
ensembl:rRNA 5S_rRNA 5S ribosomal RNA